rnacentral:rRNA from 1 species
AUUGAACGCUGGCGGCAGGCCUAACACAUGCAAGUCGAACGAGUGGCGGACGGGUGAGUAAUGUCUGGGCAACUGCCUGAUGGAGGGGGAUAACUACUGGAAACGGUAGCUAAUACCGCAUACCAUCAGAUGUGCCCAGAUGGGAUUAGAUAGUUGGUGGGGUAACGGCUCACCAAGGCGACGAACCCUAGCUGGUCAGAGGGGAUGACCAGCCACACUGGAACUGAGACACGUUCCAGACUCCGACGGUGGGCAGCAGUGGGGAAUAUUGCACAAUGGGCGCAAGCCUGAUGCAGCCAUGCCGCGUGUAUUAAGAAGGCCUUCGGGUUGUAAAGUACUUUCAGCGGGGAGGCGUUACCCGCAGAAGAAGCACCGGCUAACUCCGUGCCAGCCGCCGCGGUAAUUC